rnacentral:rRNA from 1 species
UUAAGUGAAUAAGGGCGCACGGUGGAUGCCUUGGCACUAGGAGCCGAUGAAGGACGGGACUAACACCGAUAUGCUUUGGGGAGCUGUACGUAAGCUAUGAUCCAGAGAUUUCCGAAUGGGGGAACCCAACAUCUUUAAUAGGAUGUUACGAUUGUGUGAAUACAUAGCACAUUCGAGGUAGACGCAGAGAACUGAAACAUCUAAGUACCUGCAGGAAGAGAAAGAAAAUUCGAUUCCCUGAGUAGCGGCGAGCGAAACGGGAAAAGCCCAAACCAGCAAGCUUGCUUGUUGGGGUUGUAGGACUCCAAUAUGGUAGUUCUUUCAGAUAGUCGAAUGACUUGGAAAAGUCAGUCAAAGAGGGUAAAAACCCCGUAGACGAAAUGUGGAAGACACCUAGGAGGAUCCUGAGUACGGCGGAACACGAGAAAUUCCGUCGGAAUCCGGGAGGACCAUCUCCCAAGGCUAAAUACUCCCUAGUGACCGAUAGUGAACCAGUACCGUGAGGGAAAGGUGAAAAGCACCCCGGAAGGGGAGUGAAAUAGAACCUGAAACCGUGUGCCUACAACAAGUCAAAGCCCGUUAAUGGGUGAUGGCGUGCCUUUUGUAGAAUGAACCGGCGAGUUACGAUUGCAUGCGAGGUUAAGUUGAAGAGACGGAGCCGCAGCGAAAGCGAGUCUGAAUAGGGCGUUUGAGUAUGUAGUCGUAGACCCGAAACCAUGUGAUCUACCCAUGUCCAGGUUGAAGGUGCGGUAAAACGCACUGGAGGACCGAACCCACGUACGUUGAAAAGUGCGGGGAUGAGGUGUGGGUAGCGGAGAAAUUCCAAACGAACUUGGAGAUAGCUGGUUCUCUCCGAAAUAGCUUUAGGGCUAGCCUCGGAAUUGAGAAUGAUGGAGGUAGAGCACUGUUUGGACUAGGGGCCCAUCUCGGGUUACCGAAUUCAGAUAAACUCCGAAUGCCAUUCAUUCAUAUCCGGGAGUCAGACUGUGAGUGAUAAGAUCCAUAGUCGAAAGGGAAACAGCCCAGACCACCAGCUAAGGUCCCAAAAUAUAUGUUAAGUGGAAAAGGAUGUGGGGUUGCACAGACAACUAGGAUGUUGGCUUAGAAGCAGCCACCAUUUAAAGAGUGCGUAAUAGCUCACUAGUCGAGUGACCCUGCGCCGAAAAUGUACCGGGGCUAAACAUAUUACCGAAGCUGUGGAGUACACCUUUAGGUGUAUUGGUAGGAGAGCGUUCUAAGGGCGUCGAAGGCAGAUCGUGAGGACUGCUGGAGCGCUUAGAAGUGAGAAUGCCGGUAUGAGUAGCGAAAGACAGGUGAGAAUCCUGUCCACCGAAUGACUAAGGUUUCCUGGGGAAGGCUCGUCCGCCCAGGGUUAGUCGGGACCUAAGCCGAGGCCGACAGGCGUAGGCGAUGGAUAACAGGUUGAUAUUCCUGUACCCGUUGUUUUUGUUUGAGCAAUGGAGGGACGCAGGAGGCUAAGGAAUGCAGACGAUCGGAAAUGUCUGUCCAAGCAGUAAGUCUGAAGAGGAGUCAAAUGCUUCUUUUCUUAAGGACAAGCUGUGAUGGGGAGGGAAAUAAUAGUACCGAAGUUCCUGAUGUCACACUGCCGAGAAAAGCUUCUAGUGAGAAAACAGCGGCCCGUACCGCAAACCGACACAGGUAGUCGAGGAGAGAAUCCUAAGGUGAGCGAGAGAACUCUCGUUAAGGAACUCGGCAAAAUGACCCCGUAACUUCGGGAGAAGGGGUGCUGAUCAUACGAUCAGCCGCAGUGAAUAGGCCCAAGCGACUGUUUAUCAAAAACACAGGUCUCUGCAAAAUCGUAAGAUGAAGUAUAGGGGCUGACGCCUGCCCGGUGCUGGAAGGUUAAGAGGAGUGCUUAGCGCAAGCGAAGGUACGAAUUGAAGCCCCAGUAAACGGCGGCCGUAACUAUAACGGUCCUAAGGUAGCGAAAUUCCUUGUCGGGUAAGUUCCGACCCGCACGAAAGGCGUAACGAUUUGGGCACUGUCUCAACGAGAGACUCGGUGAAAUUUUAGUACCUGUGAAGAUGCAGGUUACCCGCGACAGGACGGAAAGACCCCAUGGAGCUUUACUGUAGUUUGAUAUUGAGUGUCUGUACCGCAUGUACAGGAUAGGUAGGAGCCGUAGAAAUCGGAACGCUAGUUUCGAUGGAGGCGCUGGUGGGAUACUACCCCUGCGUUAUGGCCACUCUAACCCGCACCACUAAUCGUGGUGGGAGACAGUGUCAGAUGGGCAGUUUGACUGGGGCGGUCGCCUCCUAAAAGGUAACGGAGGCGCCCAAAGGUUCCCUCAGAAUGGUUGGAAAUCAUUCGAAGAGUGUAAAGGCAGAAGGGAGCUUGACUGCGAGACCAACAAGUCGAGCAGGGACGAAAGUCGGGCUUAGUGAUCCGGUGGUUCCGCAUGGAAGGGCCAUCGCUCAACGGAUAAAAGCUACCCUGGGGAUAACAGGCUUAUCUCCCCCAAGAGUCCACAUCGACGGGGAGGUUUGGCACCUCGAUGUCGGCUCGUCGCAUCCUGGGGCUGUAGUCGGUCCCAAGGGUUGGGCUGU